AAAAAAAAAAAAAAAAAAAAAAAAAAAAAAAAAAAAAGGUAUGGAGGACCCCUCAACUACAGUCGAUUUUGUAAAAUGCCCAUUAACUUGUUUUUAUUAACAUAAUAAAUGUUUUACCGACCGUCCUUAGAGCAAAUGGCAAAAGGCUUGAUGGUUGGUAUCCGAGACUCAAGUUCGAAUUCUAGUUGAUUCAUAUUUCCAGCUAAGUUUAUUUAUAAAUGAAAUAAACGAAGCGGGUAGCGUGUUACAUAUUUCUAAAAAAAAAUAUUUAUACCAUCCGAUGUGAUCUAAAGUGUUUUAGAUUGUCUAUCUGUAGAAGACAAUACGAUAAUAGUUUGUAAAUUUUAUUUAUUGCCUCUUAAGCAAAAUAGAAUUGUAAAUGACUAUCUACAGUUAUAUAGAUUUAUCUGUAAUAAAUAUUUUUUUUUAGAAAUAUGUAACACGCUACCCGCUUCGUUUAUUUCUUAUAUUUUUUUUUAGAAAUAAAUUUAGCUGAAAAUGUGAAUCAAUUAUGAUUCGAACUUGAGAUAUCGAGUACCAACUACCAAAUUUUUUACCACUUGUUCUAGAAACGGUCAAU
rnacentral:lncRNA from 1 species